rnacentral:rRNA from 1 species
UUAAGCGACUAAGCGUACACGGUGGAUGCCCUGGCAGUCAGAGGCGAUGAAGGACGUGCUAAUCUGCGAUAAGCGUCGGUGAGGUGAUAUGAACCGUUAUAACCGGCGAUUUCCGAAUGGGGGAAACCCAGUGUGUUUCGACACACUAUCAUUAACUGAAUCCAUAGGUUAAUGAGGCGAACCGGGGGAACUGAAACAUCUAAGUACCCCGAGGAAAAGAAAUCAACCGAGAUUCCCCCCAGUAGCGGCGAGCGAACGGGGAGGAGCCCAGAGCCUGAAUCAGUGUGGUGUGGUUAGUGGAAGCGUCUGGGAAAGGCGUGCGAUACAGGGUGACAGCCCCGUACACAAAAAUGCACAUAUGUGAGCUCGAUGAGUAGGGCGGGACACGUGGUAUCCUGUCUGAAUAUGGGGGGACCAUCCUCCAAGGCUAAAUACUCCUGACUGACCGAUAGUGAACCAGUACCGUGAGGGAAAGGCGAAAAGAACCCCGGCGAGGGGAGUGAAAAAGAACCUGAAACCGUGUACGUACAAGCAGUGGGAGCCUCUUAAUGGGGUGACUGCGUACCUUUUGUAUAAUGGGUCAGCGACUUAUAUUCUGUAGCAAGGUUAACCGAAUAGGGGAGCCGAAGGGAAACCGAGUCUUAACUGGGCGUUAAGUUGCAGGGUAUAGACCCGAAACCCGGUGAUCUAGCCAUGGGCAGGUUGAAGGUUGGGUAACACUAACUGGAGGACCGAACCGACUAAUGUUGAAAAAUUAGCGGAUGACUUGUGGCUGGGGGUGAAAGGCCAAUCAAACCGGGGAGAUAGCUGGUUCUCCCCGAAAGCUAUUUAGGUAGCGCCUCGUGAAUUCAUCUCCGGGGGUAGAGCACUGUUUCGGCAAGGGGGUCAUCCCGACUUACCAACCCGAUGCAAACUGCGAAUACCGGAGAAUGUUAUCACGGGAGACACACGGCGGGUGCUAACGUCCGUCGUGAAGAGGGAAACAACCCAGACCGCCAGCUAAGGUCCCAAAGUCAUGGUUAAGUGGGAAACGAUGUGGGAAGGCCCAGACAGCCAGGAUGUUGGCUUAGAAGCAGCCAUCAUUUAAAGGAAAGCGUAAUAGCUCACUGGUCGAGUCGGCCUGCGCGGAAGAUGUAACGGGGCUAAACCAUGCACCGAAGCUGCGGCAGCGACACUAUGUGUUGUUGGGUAGGGGAGCGUUCUGUAAGCCUGUGAAGGUGGCCUGUGAGGGGUGCUGGAGGUAUCAGAAGUGCGAAUGCUGACAUAAGUAACGAUAAACGGGUGAAAAGCCCGCUCGCCGGAAGACCAAGGGUUCCUGUCCAACGUUAAUCGGGGCAGGGUGAGUCGACUCCUAAGGCGAGGCCGAAAGGCGUAGUCGAUGGGAAACAGGUUAAUAUUCCUGUACUUGGUGUUACUGCGAAGGGGGGACGGAGAAGGCUAUGUUGGCCGGGCGACGGUUGUCCCGGUUUAAGCGUGUAGGCUGGUUUUCCAGGCAAAUCCGGAAAACCAAGGCUGAGGCGUGAUGACGAGGCACUACGGUGCUGAAGUGACAAAUGCCCUGCUUCCAGGAAAAGCCUCUAAGCAUCAGGUAACAUCAAAUCGUACCCCAAACCGACACAGGUGGUCAGGUAGAGAAUACCAAGGCGCUUGAGAGAACUCGGGUGAAGGAACUAGGCAAAAUGGUGCCGUAACUUCGGGAGAAGGCACGCUGAUAUGUAGGUGAAGCGACUUGCUCGUGGAGCUGAAAUCAGUCGAAGAUACCAGCUGGCUGCAACUGUUUAUUAAAAACACAGCACUGUGCAAACACGAAAGUGGACGUAUACGGUGUGACGCCUGCCCGGUGCCGGAAGGUUAAUUGAUGGGGUUAGCGGUAACGCGAAGCUCUUGAUCGAAGCCCCGGUAAACGGCGGCCGUAACUAUAACGGUCCUAAGGUAGCGAAAUUCCUUGUCGGGUAAGUUCCGACCUGCACGAAUGGCGUAAUGAUGGCCAGGCUGUCUCCACCCGAGACUCAGUGAAAUUGAACUCGCUGUGAAGAUGCAGUGUACCCGCGGCAAGACGGAAAGACCCCGUGAACCUUUACUAUAGCUUGACACUGAACAUUGAGCCUUGAUGUGUAGGAUAGGUGG